ACAUUAAAGUCUCAUGUCAUACUUGUUAAUAAUGAAGUGACAUACCAAGAGAUCAAACACACACACACACACACACACACACACACACACACACACACACACACACACACACACACACACCUAUUCGAAUUACGAGUAUGUUGUGUGUUGCAGUCAAUGUAACAUCAAUAUCUAUUUGUCUAUCUGAGCCUGUGAGCAUGUGGAGGAGCGGAUGGGUUGAUGGAUGGGUGGAUGGAAGGAUGUAUGAGUGAGUGGGUGGAUGGGUGGGUGGUUGGAUGACGGGGUGGGUGGAUUGUAAGUGAUCGUAUGGGUGAAUAGGUGGAGAUAAGAAGACUGAUGAAUGGAUGGAUGGAUGAAUAGGCGAGUGUAUGAAUGGGUGGGAGGUUCCCUUUAAGCAUUACACACGAGAGAGAGAGAGAGAGAGAGAGAGAGAGAGAGAGAGAGAGAGAGAGAGAGAGAGAGAGAGAGAGAGACAGACAGACAGAAAGGCAGAGACAGAGAGAGAGCUGUACACAACGUGGUGCAACAACUAAUUAAACAGCAACCAUUUCCUACAGUAGGAAAAUAAUAAAGGAAGCAAAACUUUUCCUUUUGUGUAUACAUAUAAGGCAGGCUAGAUGGAAUAAGGACAUCAGUGUGGCUGGCGUCUCCGUAGGGUGAGCGGUGCGUGCUCGCGUCGUCUGAAGCCCAUCGCGACUGAAACAACUGAUCUGUACGUAGGCCGCCAAAGUGGGCCGUUUGGCUUCUGACUCGACGCGCGCUGGCCAAUAUGGAGAUGGCGAACAACAGGGGCGUGAAAAGGUUGGUGGUGGCGUAUAUAGUCGCGGGAAUGCUUGUGGGUAUGAUACUGGGCUGCUGUGUGUCACUCAUCACGCAGCAGCAACAGCAGCUGCAACAUCCCAGCACGCUGCAACAUCCCAGCACGCUGCAUCACCGGAACUAUCGUAGCGCACCGCUAAAUAAUGACCCACAGUGCCAGUCCAGUGUGGACCUCAGCAAUAGUAAAGCGACGCGAGAAUUUCAGGCAAGCCUCUGUAUACCAGUGUAUCAGAAUGUAAAAGUCGAUGUGGAAGAGGGCUGCAAUAAGGUUCUUGUUAAAAGAUGUGCCUGUAAUGGAUGUUACGUACGUGGGGAGUGUGUACCAUCUUCCACGAAUGAUGUCCAGAGAGAAGUGAUGUGCGACGACGGGAAGACUACGGUGGAUGUUGAGGAACAUACGGCCUGCACGUGUACGUAAACAGGCACCCUGUGACACAACCAGUGCAUCCCGGACUGGCCAUCACCGCUCUAGUCUCCUCGAUUAACCGACACGGCCUUCCUUCCCUGAUAGACUCACCGCCACCACCACCACCACCACCACCACAACCACUACCACCACCGCCGCCGUCGCCGCCGCCAUCGGUUAAAAUAAAUGUUUAAUUUAGAAUCUUACGUGCACAGAGUGCACAAGUGUAGCGACAGACUCUGGAGCCGCGGUUCUCAAAUGGCGGUCCGUAGUAGCAUGCACCACAUACACUAUAUUUGUUGAUAAACUUGAAGUGAAUGUUCACAAUCUUAAACCUAUGUAAACUUCAGUAUGAACAAUUUAACCAAAAUAAAUAAUGAUUUAUUUUAUUACUACAUAUAUUUA